UAUCAAUAGGGAAAAAAAACAGACCUAACUUCUCAGUGGUAAAAAUAAUAAUACUACAGUGUGAAACCUGCCUUAAGCAACCACUCAAGGAGCUGACAACAUUGGUUCCUUUAAGAGCCGGUUCAGCCAUCGCUCCCCAUUAAUCUGUAGAGGGAAGAAGUCCUGACGUCCAACAGAAGCUCUGGUUUUAUUGGUGCAACCAUUCAGUGCACCCUCCACUGCACGCAGCAUCACACAUCUUCCUUUGACUGCAGCAGACGCUGGACAUUUGUUCAGGUACCAGGUGAUAUCCUGGGAUCCUUACUUUUUCAUUCCC